rnacentral:lncRNA from 1 species
UUAGUUUUAAGUAAUAAAUGAAUUUAAUAAAUUAAAUUCAUCACCUAUAAUGUUCUGUAAACUAUAUUUGAAAACUCUCUAAAAUUAUAUUUUAAGCAUAAUAUUACUAUUAUUUAAUUUAAGUUAUUUUAAGCAUAAUAUAUGCUAAACCUACUUAAAUUAUAUUUACAAUAGGACCAUCCUAAACCGGUUAAUAAACCAAAAACAAUACUAAACCAACAUGAAUCAAUACUUGAUUCGGUGAGGAAUGAAAUGUUUCGGGAUAAACGCUUGACUGGUUAUUAACUGUAAUUGUUUGAUCAUGAAAGAGUUAGUAUGAAUAUUAACAAUAAAAUUAUAGAUUAGAUUAAUUUAAAUUUGUAAGAAUACCUUUGAGUAUAUGAAAAGCAAUUCAAUUCCCAUGAAUAAGUUUGGAUUUUGGAAGUUGUGGAUUUCCCAACAAUGAAUCCACCUAGCAAAAAGUUCGUUGUUAUAAAAGAUCUCCUUUAAGGUCAUUAAAGGUUUUUGGGACGGCAAGAGUUGAUGGUGGAACCAUUUUUUUGCUCGAGUGCUUUAAAGUUUUCCUUGAUAGUGUGAGGUUGAUGUUGAUGGAAUAAUGAGUUGUAUAGGAACUUUCUUGAUGUAAAACUAUAUACAUUUUUUUUGUUUAAUAUGGUAUUUCUAUUUUUAUAUAAUUUACUACCAUUUUAAGAUAGAUGUACAUUUUAAGAUAGAUGUUUAAAUUUUAAUGUACUUUGUUCCAUUUUUUAAAAUUGUGUACUUACUUAUAUUUUAUAUUUUACAUUUUAAGAUAGAUGUUUAAUGUUUAAUGAAUUUUUUCCAUUUUAUUAAAAAAAUUGUGUAUUUACUUAUUAUUAUAUAUAUAAUUCAUAUAUUAUAUAUUUACAUUAUUUAUAAUUAUUUAUUUUCCUG